rnacentral:lncRNA from 1 species
UCUCCAUAAUAGCUUAAGUGUUUAACUUGGUAACAAGUACACAAACGUCAUAAUAGCUUAAAUGUUUAACUUGGUAACAAGUACACAAACGUCAUAAUAGCUGAAGUGUUUAACUUGGUAACAAGUUCACAAACAACAUAAUCGCAAUCUCCACUCAGUUCAAAUUACUGACAUAAAUGAAAACAUGUAAUAAUAAGCAGGGACAUCUUCACUCUUCAGCCUUUACACAACAUUUCUUCAUCCUCCUACAAAAUGGCAGCAAUGAAAGAAUUAGUAAAUAACACAAAAUUUUAAUAUUUAAAUGAGUUUACAGCAAUGCAACAUAUUCAAUGCUUUCACUUAUGGGCAGUGCCUUCACAAGACGAUCAGAGAUGGAGAACUAAGGAAGACUGAUAUUUCUAAGGCUCGCUGAUGGCGAAAAUUAUACAGUCACAAUAUACGCCCG